GCCUUCGUGGUGUAGUGGUUAGUACACUCGACACAUAUGCGAGAGGUCCGAGGUUCGAGUCCCGGCGUGGGCG
rnacentral:tRNA from 1 species